GAAUUUUGGACAAUGGGGGAAACCCUGAUCCAGCCAUGCCGCGUGCGGGAAGAAGGCCUUCGGGUUGUAAACCGCUUUCGGCCGGAACGAAAUGGUUAGGGCGAACAGUCCUGACUGAUGACGGUACCGGAAGAAGAAGCACCGGCUAACUACGUGCCAGCAGCCGCGGUAAUACGCAGGGUGCGAGCGUUAAGCGGAAUGACUGGGCGUAAAGCGUGCGCAGGCGGCUCGCUAAGACAGGUGUGAAAGCCCCGGGCUUAACCUGGGAAUGGCGCUUGUGACUGGAGAGCUGGAGUGCGGCAGAGGGAGAUGGAAUUCCUGGUGUAGCAGUGAAAUGCGUAGAUAUCAGGAGGAACACCGAUGGCGAAGGCAGUCUCCUGGGUCAGCACUGACGCUCAUGCACGAAAGCGUGGGGAGCAAACAGG
rnacentral:rRNA from 1 species